AAAUUUGCUGUAUAUUUAUUCACAUGUAAGAAAAAUAUCAACACAACGUCCUCCUGAACAAAAUUGAAAAAUAAACUCACUUAAAUAUCUUUUAUUCUAAAGGUGAGCAUGUAGAUAGAGGUUUUGUUUGCCUUCAAAGUGGGAGCCAACUAAAUACAGCCAACAUUUUGGUGCCUUGCGGUCACGGAUGGUGUUUUGAUGAGUGUGCGAUUCGCUUAGAUAAAUGUGAUGUCUGCAAAAUUGAAUUUCCUACAACACAACCCAUCCAAAUAAUGCACAUUAAAUUAGGAGAUGGUAAAUGGAUGCAAAAUACUUCCUUACUCGAUC